rnacentral:rRNA from 1 species
UGGCGGACGGGUGAGUAAUGUCUGGGAAACUGCCUGAUGGAGGGGGAUAACUACUGGAAACGGUAGCUAAUACCGCAUAACGUCGCAAGACCAAAGAGGGGGACCUUAGGGCCUCUUGCCAUCGGAUGUGCCCAAAUGGGAUUAGCUAGUAGGUGGGGUAAUGGCUCACCUAGGCGACGAUCCCUAGCUGGUCUGAGAGGAUGACCAGCCACACUGGAACUGAGACACGGUCCAG